rnacentral:rRNA from 1 species
GCUAAUACAUGCAAGUCGAGCGAACAGAGAAGGAGCUUGCUCCUUCGACGUUAGCGGCGGACGGGUGAGUAACACGUGGGCAACCUACCUUAUAGUUUGGGAUAACUCCGGGAAACCGGGGCUAAUACCGAAUAAUCUGUUUCACCUCAUGGUGAAACACUGAAAGACGGUUUCGGCUGUCGCUAUAGGAUGGGCCCGCGGCGCAUUAGCUAGUUGGUGAGGUAACGGCUCACCAAGGCGACGAUGCGUAGCCGACCUGAGAGGGUGAUCGGCCACACUGGGACUGAGACACGGCCCAGACUCCUACGGGAGGCAGCAGUAGGGAAUCUUCCACAAUGGGCGAAAGCCUGAUGGAGCAACGCCGCGUGAGUGAAGAAGGAUUUCGGUUCGUAAAACUCUGUUGUAAGGGAAGAACAAGUACAGUAGUAACUGGCUGUACCUUGACGGUACCUUAUUAGAAAGCCACGGCUAACUACGUGCCAGCAGCCGCGGUAAUACGUAGGUGGCAAGCGUUGUCCGGAAUUAUUGGGCGUAAAGCGCGCGCAGGUGG